rnacentral:rRNA from 1 species
UACAGAGGUGGCAAGCGUUGUUCGGAAUUACUGGGCGUAAAGGGCGCGUAGGCGGCUUGGUCAGUCCCGUGUGAAAUCCCUCGGCUCAACUGAGGAACUGCACGGGAAACUGCCUGGCUUGAGUUCGGGAGAGGGAAGCGGAAUUCCGGGUGUAGCGGUGAAAUGCGUAGAUAUCCGGAGGAACACCGGUGGCGAAGGCGGCUUCCUGGACCAAUACUGACGCUCAUGUGCGAAAGCGUGGGGAGCAAACAGG